AAAGCGUCCGCAGGCGGUUUUGUAAGUCUGUUGUUAAAGCGUGGAGCUUAACUCCAUUUCAGCAAUGGAAACUGCAAGACUAGAGUGUGGUAGGGGCAGAGGGAAUUCCCGGUGUAGCGGUGAAAUGCGUAGAUAUCGGGAAGAACACCAGUGGCGAAGGCGCUCUGCUGGGCCAUAACUGACGCUCAUGGACGAAAGCCAGGGGAGCGAAAGGGAUUAGAUACCCCUGU
rnacentral:rRNA from 1 species